AGAACGAACGCUGGCGGCAGGCUUAACACAUGCAAGUCGAACGCUCGUAGCAAUACGGGAGUGGCAGACGGGUGAGUAACGCGUGGGAACAUACCCUCCGGUUCGGAAUAGCUCAGGGAAACUUGGAUUAAUACCGGAUACGGCCGAGAGGCGAAAGAUUUAUCGCCGGAGGAUUGGCCCGCGUUCGAUUAGCUAGUUGGUGAGGUAACGGCUCACCAAGGCGAUGAUCGAUAGCUGGUCUGAGAGGAUGAUCAGCCACAUUGGGACUGAGACACGGCCCAAACUCCUACGGGAGGCAGCAGUGGGAAUAUUGGACAAUGGGCGCAAGCCUGAUCCAGCCAUGCCGCGUGAGUGAUGACGGCCUUAGGGUGUAAAGCUCUUUCGCUCGGGACGAUAAUGACGGUACCGAGAUAAGAAGCCCCGGCUAACUUCGUGCCAGCAGCCGC
rnacentral:rRNA from 1 species